GAAAUAAAUAUAUACCAUGUUAAUAGUUUAUUAUUAAAUCCUGCUUUAAUGGAAGUGCAGUUCCUGCUAGUUCGCCGGUGGCGCUAUUGCGCACAGAGUCUGUGUAGACUGCAGCAGAGUUAGGGAGAACUGCUGUGGGUGAGUCGGGUUAUGUGUUAGCUCCACACUAAAAUAUAAAAAUAUCAUUUAAAUGAUUGAUUGGAUGCAGCUUUAAAAGUCUAGCACACUUUAUAUACAUUUAUUGAUCGAUAGAGUGCGUUUUCUUUUCAUAUUUGUUUGAUUUUGAUACUUUUAAUCUCAUCUUGAUGUUUUCCCCCAUGUGCUUAUACAGCAAGUGCUAAUGAAGUAUAUGUGUUUUAGAUGUGGAUGCUAAAGUUAAACCGUGUUGAUCUCACUGUUACUGCUCUGUGUGCAGGUAAUUUUCUAUUAUAUUUUGUGUUUCUAUCUUUGUUUUAUAUAGUGAUGAUCUAGACUUUCAAGAUAGACUGCAGCAGAGUUAGGGAGAACUGCUGUGGAUGUGGAUGCUAAAGUUAAACCGUGUUGAUCUCACUGUUACUGCUCUGUGUGCAGGGCAAAAUAAAAUCCUCCUCAUCCGAGUCCAGUGUCUGUGUAUUGCUGAAGGGUGAAUGAAGUGGGUUCGGGAGUGAAGUAUAAAGGUUCACAACUUGCAUCCUACAUCCAGAGUAACGUGUCCAGAGUAAGGGCAACUGUAAGGGGGAUACCGUCUAUGGCAUGGCUGAGGGUCCACUUUGAGCAUCUCAUCCGCAGCAUGAAGCAACACAGGAUGGACAGUCAUCAUCUCUUUCUAUUACAGCGAGCACCAACCAGAUUUAUACAAAGGCUUGCCUUCUGCCCAUUAGUAAAAAUUAAAGAGUACACACACUGUACAUAAUUUAUAUGUUUUUUCCUGCACUGCAGAAAUAUAAAGUUGUCAAUAUAAUAAACAUUAAUUUUCAACAUAAUCAUGUAAACAUAUAUUACAGAACAAUUUGAGUGAACAAUUGCUCUGCACUAAUGUAAAUAUAAAUAACUGUAGAUACUUGCACUGCAGGUGUAAAUAAGCAGGGUAUUAUGUGCAUAGAGAAAUAUGCAAUGCUUACCUCCAUCAAACGUACUGCCUCUGUCUUUUGACAAAAAUCAGGCGGGCAACUACCGUCAGAACCCAAGUGAUGCUCAAGGACUGGUUGUAUUUAAUUACAUUUAAUGUUAGCCUUUUUAAAAAAGACAAGAAUAAUGCAAAAUACAUUUGUUUCAAGUCACAACAAUGUAAUGAAUGGGAUACCACCUCCAACUCAUUUUCAACAAGGAAAACCCUGAAAUAUGUAAAUAUAAGUAACAUUUGCACUGCAGUAAUGUAAAAACAUAACUUUAGACAUUUGCACUGCAGUAUAAAUAUAAAAAGUUUGACACAAUGUUAAACAUUUCCCUUACAGCGAUGUGUAAAAAUACAACAUUAAACAAUUUUUAAGUAA